rnacentral:tRNA from 3 species
GCCAACUUAGCUCAGUUGGUAGAGCAGCUGAUUUGUAAUCAGCCGGUCGUCGGUUCGAGUCCGACAGUUGGCU